AGGAUUAAAGGCUACCGAUCGAGGAGUGUGUGAAAAGCUUGGAUCAUUGGAGUGACUAAAUCUAGUCAUCAACAUCGGCAAAGGAGAAAUCACAUAGGAGAUCUCGUCAAGGAAUAUCUCAAAUCAGGUGAGCCUUAAUAUGGGGACUUGGGCCGGAGGGGAUUUGGAGUGGCCACGGUGAUCGCUUUUGGACCUUUAAAUAAGCAUUGGUUUGGACCUUUAAAUAAGCAUUGGUUUUCAUUUAAUUUCCUUUAACUAUUAUUUAUUUUUGGGGAUGUAAUAAGGCCAUUUUUAACUUUUUCUUUAUUUCUUCUCGGGAUUAUUUAUUUUUAAUAACUUCAAA